rnacentral:rRNA from 1 species
GAUGAACGCUAGCGGCAGGCCUAAUACAUGCGAGUCGAACGGUGUCUUCGGACAUAGUGGCGCACGGGUGCGUAACACGUAUGCAACCUACCUUACAUUGGGGGAUAGCCUUUCGAAAGGGAGAUUAAUACCGCAUAAGACAGUAGCUGGGCAUCCAGCAGCUGUUAAAGAUUUAUCGAUGUAAGCUGGGCAUGCGUCCAAUUAGCUAGUUGGUGAGGUAACGGCUCACCAAGGCAAUGAUUGCUAGGGGAACUGAGAGGUCAAUCCCCCACACUGGCACUGAGAUACGGGCCAGACUCCUACGGGAGGCAGCAGUAGGGAAUAUUGGGCAAUGGACGCAAGUCUGACCCAGCCAUGCCGCGUGCAGGAUGAAGGCGUUAUGCGUUGUAAACUGCUUUUAUACAGGAAGAAACGACUCUUGCGAGAGGCAUUGACGGUACUGUAUGAAUAAGCACCGGCUAACUCCGUGCCAGCAGCCGCGGUAAGAC